UCACUCUUAGUGUAGUCUUUGAAAAUGGAGGUCCUUGUGCUACUGCCAUGGCUAUUUGUUAUUAUAACCGCUCAGGAUACAUUAUACAGCGUGGAUCAACUAUUACAAAGAGGAAUCAGCAGUGGCGACGGAGUUUCUACAUAUGCAGUGGAUGGCGAUGACGGCGCGAUCCAAUCCAACGAUGGCCUGAAUGCGAACCUUGAGGAACAACAGCAAAAAAACCUGCAAAACCUUGGAACUAUGUUUUUACGGAUGGCACAAGCAGCAGGAUUACGGGAAAAUAAAAUAAAACGCCCACCUUAUCCCCCCACGA